rnacentral:lncRNA from 1 species
ACUAGAGGUGAACGCGCGCUUCGCGCGUUGCACCAGUGGUGCCAGGAGAGGGAAAUCAUUGAUUACAUCUGUCGGUUCUGGUAGGUAUGUGAACCAAAUAAUGCACACAGCAGCAUAUUUAUUCAGCAAAGAAAGUUGGAAUGGACGGUAUUGUAGGAUUGUAAAGGGCAGCGCUCAUCGUCCUAAACUGAAGCUUUAUCAUCCCAAACCAACAGUUAUAUUAUCAAGAGUCCUGAAAAACCACUUCUAUGGCAAGAGGAAAUAA